rnacentral:rRNA from 1 species
GAUGAACGCUGGCUACAGGCUUAACACAUGCAAGUCGAGGGGCAGCAUGCUACGCUUUCGGGCGUGGUGAUGGCGACCGGCGCACGGGUGAGUAACGCGUAUCCGACCUGCCCCGUACCAGGGCACAGCCCGUCGAAAGACGGAUUAAUGCCCUAUGUUCUCCGGAGUGUCCAUGCAGUCCGGAGCAAAGGUAUAUUCCGGUACGGGAUGGGGAUGCGUCCGAUUAGCUUGCCGGCGGGGUAACGGCCCACCGGGGCAUCGAUCGGUAGGGGUUCUGAGAGGAAGGUCCCCCACACUGGGACUGAGACACGGUCCAGACUCCUACGGGAGGCAGCAGUGAGGAAUAUUGGUCAAUGGGGGUAACCCUGAACCAGCCAAGUAGCGUGCAGGAUGACGGCCCUAUGGGUUGUAUACUGCUUUUGUGCGCGGAUAACCGGAGGGACUUGUCCCUCCCUGCAGGUAGCGCAUGAAUAAGGACCGGCUAAUUCCGUGCCAGCAGCCGCCGUAA